rnacentral:lncRNA from 1 species
GCCCCACCACGGUGGCUUCAACCGCUGAGUUCAGUGAGCUGGGAAUUCAGAGCUUUGAGUGACAGACCAGGCUUGGCCAGUGACUUGUGGCAUGACCUUGGGAGAGUCAUUGCUCCUACUGUGUCUCACUGUCUCACACUGAGAAAGGAAAGCACUGCAAACAUUUCUCUCUUUCUGAAACUCCAAUAGACAUUAUUUGUCCCC